CUCCUCCUCCUCCUGCAGCUCCYGCCGGGGCUGCUCCCGGCUCCCCCCGCACCGGCCCCCGGGCGCUCCCCCGCCUCACACCCCGCGAUCCUCCGAUCCGGGCUGGAGAUGCAAUUGGCUGAGGAAGGGAAGGCGCUGCCCGGCCGCCGGCCAUCGCCCAGCCGGGAAAUGAGCGCGAUGGGCGGCCGCGGGGCCGUGCAGCCCUGCCCGGCCGGAGCCUGGAGCCGGGAGCCGAGCCCGGCGUCCGAACACUCGACCGAGGAGACUGGGUUUAGGAGGGAUUUGGAAUCCGCAAGGGAAAUUUCCCUUCCGGUUAUUAAGACUUUUUUGCUCCGAGAAGUCCGGUGAUGCUGCAGUGCAGUGGCUGGCAAAUGCUCCUGUUUCUCUGCCUGCUGCAAGGGGAUGAGGAUGCCAGUUCCCCCCGUGGUACUGCAAACAUCCCAGCUGUGAGGGAGGAGGUUUCUCUGAAACAAAGYCUUGGCCAGGUGUGAAACAGCAAGGAUUGUGCCCAAGGAUUUUCCUGUAGAUAUUGUGAGCGAACAUGGAGCCAGCGGAGAGGAGAGCUGAAUCUGCAG